rnacentral:rRNA from 1 species
UACGGGGGGGGCAAGCGUUGUUCGGAAUUACUGGGCGUAAAGGGCUCGUAGGCGGCCAACUAAGUCAUACGUGAAAUCCCUCGGCUUAACCGGGGAACUGCGUCCGAUACUGGUUGGCUUGAGUUUGGGAGAGGGAUGCGGAAUUCCAGGUGUAGCGGUGAAAUGCGUAGAUAUCUGGAGGAACACCGGUGGCGAAGGCGGCAUCCUGGACCAAUACUGACGCUGAGGAGCGAAAGCCAGGGGAGCAAACGGG